AAACUUGAUUCAGUGCUGCAUUUAGUGUGAUUAAAACAAAUGAUGAGCUUGGAGUUGGGUCUAUACAACCUCACAGAACAGGUGGCAAAAUGGAAAAUGAAGGAAUAUAGAGUGCUUUAAUCUGCAUCCAUGGAGGGCUUGAUGCACAUUUCUUGCAGUUGAGGAAUUCUAAAAUGCUUGAGCAACUGAGAAAGUUACAGCUGAAUUUAGCUAAGCAAAGUGUGAAAACAGGC
rnacentral:lncRNA from 1 species